rnacentral:rRNA from 1 species
AGUGAACGCUGGCGGCAGGCCUAACACAUGCAAGUCGAACGGCAGCACGGCAGUAGCAAUACUGUGGGUGGCGAGUGGCGGACGGGUGAGGAAUACAUCGGGAUCUACCCUGUUGUGGGGGAUAACGUAGGGAAACUUACGCUAAUACCGCAUAAGAACUGAGGUUGAAAGCGGCGGACCGCAAGGCGUCGCGCGAUUGGAUGAACCGAUGUCCGAUUAGCUAGUUGGCGGGGUAAAGGCCCACCAAGGCGACGAUCGGUAGCUGGUCUGAGAGGACGACCAGCCACACUGGAACUGAGACACGGUCCAGACUCCUACGGGAGGCAGCAGUGGGGAAUAUUGGACAAUGGGCGCAAGCCUGAUCCAGCCAUGCCGCGUGGGUGAAGAAGGCCUUCGGGUUGGUUAAAGGACCCUUUUCGUUCCGGU